UACGAAGGGUGCAAGCGUUACUCGGAAUUACUGGGCGUAAAGCGUGCGUAGGUGGUUUGUUAAGUCUGAUGUGAAAGCCCUGGGCUCAACCUGGGAAUGGCAUUGGAUACUGGCAGUCUAGAGUGCGGUAGAGGGUAGCGGAAUUCCCGGUGUAGCAGUGAAAUGCGUAGAUAUCGGGAGGAACAUCCGUGGCGAAGGCGGCUACCUGGACCAGCACUGACACUGAGGCACGAAAGCGUGGGGAGCAAACGGG
rnacentral:rRNA from 1 species